AUGGUCUCCAUAUCAAGGUCUUGUGUGCCCAGAGAGAGGAUUUCAUUUCAACCACCACCAUCACCACCAUCAUCAUCAUCACCAAGAGGGGUGCUGAGUGAGCGUCCGGGGAGGAGGAUUGAUAUUGGAAAAGUAGUUUCUAUCGAGCACCCAAAUGAAGAGAGAGCGCAGAACAAGAGGCAGGACUCACAAGUCCUUGACCUUCUCAUUAGACUCAUUAGCACCUACAGGACCCUGCAUCAGGAUUUCAUCUGCAUUAUCAGCUUCUUCAAAGAGAGAGAGGUUGUUGAGAUGGUUUGCUGAGAUAUUGGGGUGAGGUGAGAAGAUUGCCAAACCAAUCCCCUGUCAUUUUCUGACCCUUCAUUUGAUCUUCUACAUUGAUUUGGAAAAGCAAUUUCUAUUAAGCCUCAAAUGAAGAGAGGGUGCAGAUGAAGAGGAGGCAGGAGUCACAAGCCCUUGACCCUCAUACCAGACCCAUUACCACCUAUAGGACCUUGCAGUGGGAUUUCAUCUGCACCAUCAGCUCUUUCAAAGACAGAGAGGUUGUUGAGUGAGUACAC
rnacentral:lncRNA from 1 species